CCUACGGGGGGCUGCAGUGGGGAAUAUUGGACAAUGGGGGGAACCCUGAUCCAGCCAUGUCGCGUGUGUGAAGAAGGCCCUCGGGUUGUAAAGCACUUUCAGUGAGGAAGAACGCCUGGUGGUUAAUACCCAUCAGGAAAGACAUCACUCACAGAAGAAGCACCGGCUAACUCCGUGCCAGCAGCCGCGGUAAUACGGAGGGUGCGAGCGUUAAUCGGAAUUACUGGGCGUAAAGCGCGCGUAGGUGGCUUGAUAAGCCGGUUGUGAAAGCCCCGGGCUCAACCUGGGAACGGCAUCCGGAACUGUCAAGCUAGAGUGCAGGAGAGGAAGGUAGAAUUCCCGGUGUAGCGGUGAAAUGCGUAGAGAUCGGGAGGAAUACCAGUGGCGAAGGCGGCCUUCUGGACUGACACUGACACUGAGGUGCGAAAGCGUGGGUAGCAAACAGGAUUAGAUACCCGUGUAGUC
rnacentral:rRNA from 1 species